rnacentral:rRNA from 1 species
CCUACGGGAGGCAGCAGUGGGGAAUAUUGGACAAUGGGCGAAAGCCUGAUCCAGCCAUGCCGCGUGUGUGAAGAAGGCCUUCGGGUUGUAAAGCACUUUCAGUGGGGAAGAAAGCCUUGGGGCUAAUACCCUCGAGGAAGGACAUCACCCACAGAAGAAGCACCGGCUAACUCCGUGCCAGCAGCCGCGGUAAUACGGAGGGUGCGAGCGUUAAUCGGAAUUACUGGGCGUAAAGCGCGCGUAGGCGGUCUGAUAAGCCGGUUGUGAAAGCCCCGGGCUCAACCUGGGAACGGCAUCCGGAACUGUCCGGCUAGAGUGCAGGAGAGGAAGGUAGAAUUCCCGGUGUAGCGGUGAAAUGCGUAGAGAUCGGGAGGAAUACCAGUGGCGAAGGCGGCCUUCUGGACUGACACUGACGCUGAGGUGCGAAAGCGUGGGUAGCAAACAGGAUUAGAUACCCUUGUAGUC